AGUUGUGGAGCAAAAACUCGAUUUUGCGAUUUUGGAGGAAAACUUUUGAUUUUGAUGCUCAACAAAUUGGAAGAAAGAAUCAUAUCAUAUCUUAAUUUUUCUAGUUUUAUCUUUAAAAUUUAAGAACAAAAAUAAAUGAAAUAUUUUUUUCAAUUAAAUGAGCUAACCCUGGUACCAGCCCUAACCCUUGAUUAUAAUAGGGUUAAAAUAGGGUUGGGUUAAAAUAGGGCUAGGCUUAUAAUAAACAAAAGAGGGUUGGGCCCUAACCCUGUAGUUAACAUCCCUACCUUUCAUUCAUUCUCAAAUCAAAAACUUGGCUUUGCUAUUUGUUUUUUUUUUUGUAAGAUUUGCGAAGAGGAGAUUGAGUUUCUAACAAAAGGAGAAGAUUAUGUCAAUCUUGGUUUGUUUGCUUCAGGUACUUGAGAUUCUAACUAAGCGCUUGUUGAAAAUUAUGUCAAUCUUGGUUUGGUUGAUUUGUGUAUAGAAAUGUUAGGGCAGAACAUUACUUGGGUCUCUGAGUUAACUUGGAAGAAAUCAUAUCAGAGUGACGUUUGAUCUCAAAUUGAGAAGCUUUUCUCCCUUGUCUUGUGAAUUUCUAAUUGUAUAGACUACAAUUUAUGGUUUAGCUUGUCUCAUAGCAUGUGUUAUUAACAGGAAUAUAUAAAAGCUAUGAUUUCAUCUUUGAGGCGGAAAGGGGGACCUUAUACUAAUCAAGGUGAUGAUCUUUCCCAUGGGAAAAGACUCGAAGAAGUUAUAUGGCGUCUGUUGCAGAUUCUGAACGAAUUGCUUUUAUCUUGUGCCAGGUCAAUGCCGUUGAAUCGACUAGAUAGGUAUACUUUGAUUACUUGUUUAUUUUGUUUUUUUUUUUGCUAUCUUUUUCCUAAUCGCGCCUUAACCUCUUAAUGGCACAUUUUUAAGUUGUGGAGAUAUUUAGAUUUUUACUUUAGAGCGGCAAAAUCUAAAAAUUAAGUGGAAACCGGGAAAAAUCCCUUAAAAAGUGGUAAGAAUAUUAAGAAAUAUCCUAAUAUUUAACUAGUAUAUAAAGAAAGUAAUAUUAGUUACCUCUUCUCACGUUAAACCUAAAACCUAAACUACAUCUUAGACUGAAUCAAAGCCGUCAAGAUGCGUCCACCAAUGAUGUUAGGCGGUCGCUUGUUUGGAAGAUCAUCUCUUCAAUAUGUUGGUCUCCAAAGACAGAGGGAAGGAGUUGCUGCAAAUGCCCAACCACGUGAACAAAGGGAAGAAUUCGUACCUGUUGAACGAGAUUCUCGACUCUCGAGUGCUUCAUCCAGAAAGAAUGGAGCUAAAUGGUUCAAGAACAACACUGAAAUAUCAACAGCCACAGAUCAGGCUCACGUUCCUAUGCUAAAGUUCAAGAUAAUCUGGUGGCAAACAACGAAGACUCUUCCUUCAUUGCUGUGAUGAAGAAAACCCACCAGAAAUCUGAUGGAACAUAUGUUGAUGAAAGAGCAUGCUUAAUUACAGAAAAAUAUGAUGCAUAUGUGCAAGAAAGAUUGUCACUGGUUGAGCCUUCUAAUGGAGAGGUUUUGACAGAGCCUCUUACUGUCGAGGAAAGAAAUGAAAUAUAUGUGAAGGUUGCUGGAAUAUCAAAACAAGGUCGGGUGUUUGGACUUGGAUCACUUCAAUGUGGAGUUUAUAUGCCACUAGAUGGUUCUACAGUUUCACCACAAGCUGUUGAAGAUGAUGGUACUUUAACUCACCGAGUCAAAGAGCUGGAGUCUGACUUGCAAAAGAGUAAUGAAGAAAAGGUUCAGUUUCAGAAUAGGAUUCAAGCAAUAGAGAAAAUAUUGAUGUCUGCUUUUGGUGAAAAUGUGUUGACUCCAACAGAUACUACCACAGCCAUAUAAAGUUGUUUCUCAGUUUGGUGUUUUAGCUUGGUGUUUCUAGUUUGGUUUUCAUUUGGUUUUCUUUUGUUUACUAAGCAGUUUCAGUUUACUUAGUAAACGAAUUGUUGUUUUAUGCUUACAUGUAUUUAAAUAAAAUUCAAGCAGUUCUGUGAGAAAUUU